AGUCCCAUAGCUCAGUGGUAGAGCAUUGUACUUAUGAGGUUACCGUCAUGCAAGGGUCCCGAGUUCAACCCUCGGUGGGACUA
rfam:Pisolithus microcarpus 441 unplaced genomic scaffold scaffold_1, whole genome shotgun sequence.